UAGGGAAUCUUCGGCAAUGGGGGGAACCCUGACCGAGCAACGCCGCGUGAGUGAAGAAGGUUUUCGGAUCGUAAAGCUCUGUUGUUAAGGAAGAACGAGUGUGAGAAUGGAAAGUUCAUGCUGUUACGGUACUUAACCAGAAAGGGACGGCUAACUACGUGCCAGCAGCCGCGGUAAUACGUAGGUCCCGAGCGUUGUCCGGAUUUAUUGGGCGUAAAGCGAGCGCAGGCGGUUAGAAAAGUCUGAAGUGAAAGGCAGUGGCUCAACCAUUGUAGGCUUUGGAAACUGUUUAACUUGAGUGCAGAAGGGGAGAGUGGAAUUCCAUGUGUAGCGGUGAAAUGCGUAGAUAUAUGGAGGAACACCGGUGGCGAAAGCGGCUCUCUGGUCUGUAACUGACGAUGAGGCUCGAAAGCGUGGGGAGCGAACAGG
rnacentral:rRNA from 1 species